rnacentral:lncRNA from 1 species
ACCUUCACCAGCCUGCCUGUGUGAGACUGUUGGUCUGUGUGCCCAGCUCCCUGUGGCCUGUGUGUAUGUGCCAAAGCUAGCCAGUGUGUGGCUAUGUGAGGCAGGCCACCUGCCUCACCCAUGGACAAGGCCCCAGGUUCAAUCCCCCAGAGGAAACCACCAUCAAACAGAGGAAAAACCAAUCCUGUCUCUUCUGAGUCAUUCUCUUUCCUUCUAAGGGCACUGCCUGGGUCUUUUCUUGGGCUGGAAAAAUGCUCUGCUGAGAUGCAUAGAAACAAAAGAGCAGUUAGGUUCCUUAGAUUGGGUUCCAAAGGCCCACCGCUGCUACAGUACUCAGUUUUCCAGGCCCAGAGACAACUCUUAAGAAACAAAACCUGAAGAAGCCUGCUUAUACAGAAUUGGCAAGACCCGGACAAAGGAUGAAAAGGUGGUCACAGUGUUAAACAUUACAUGACGUUCAUUAGCAUGGUGAAAACAAACAACAAAUCAAAAAGGAGUCCAAGGGCCUGGCAGAAGAAUCAUAUCAGCAGUGCCACCUAUAGCCUGGAACUCAUUAUGUAGCUGAGGAUGGCCUUGAACUUCUGAACUUCCUGCCUUUACCCCCAGAGUACUAGAAUUACAGGUUUGAGCCUGGAUUAUGCUGUGCUGGGGUCAAGCCCAGGACUUAACUCCAUGCUAGGCAAGUACUUGACCACUGGAACUAUAUUCCCAGCCCCAAGUCCUGCUUUUAUACAAACUUUGACUCCUGGAGGUGGUCUGUGUGCUCAGCAUUGUAUAAACGAAAGGGUCUAAUUAAUACCUAAGAUUUAAUUAUUAUAAAAAUCACUUUGAAAACUAUGUUCCUUUUCUGAGAAGUUUUGUUUGCAAGAGACGAAGGGAAGGAAAACAAUGUGUGUGUAUAGGUUGAGCACUGAGCCAGAUAGCUAAGGCUAAACAGUGAAAAGAGUAUCUGUGUUAACAACCAAACGAUUUUUGUCUGUUUUGUUUAGCAAUACUUUUUGAAAAAGCUAGUAUUUUGAGACUAUCUUAAAAUGUGUUUUGUUCAUGAUCAUCCUCCCCAACUUCUCCAACAUCAAUUCUCACUUCUCUAUCUUUUUUUAAGCCAUCAAGUCCAAUUUGUGCUGCCCAAAUAUUCUUGGAUGUGUGGUCUUCCACUGGAGUGUGGUUGACUUACCAGGGGCAACAUUCUUAAAGACAGCUGGCUCUCCCUCUCCCUGCAGCUAUCAACAGCCAAUAUGCUCCUUAGCUGGGGCACCUGUGGCAACUGUGUAUCUGAUUUCAUGAACAGAAGAAUGACCCGGAGGAUAGCCAGAGAAGCUCAUGAGUCCAGCUAGCCUGGAGCCAUAUCAAUGAUGGCAUAAUCAUCAGAUUUCCAAAAUCUAGGGCCAGCUUCCAGCUUUACUUCCAGAUUCUUACCAGGAUGGCGAUGCAUCUCCUUUUUCAGCUCGUCAAGCUUGUGGGCUAUGUGAGCUGUGUGUGUGACAAUCCAGCACAGGGUCACAGCAGCACUGAUCUGGCUUGCAUUGUUCCAUAUAGUCACUGGAGCAGUGAAGCCAGAUGCUUCCAUUCAUAGAUCAUUUCUGCUGUCACCAGCAAUGCUGCCACAUAGAAUAUCUUUGGCAGAAGCAUUCUUGUGUUUUAUUUAAUAAAUGUUGUUCUUUGGCAA